rnacentral:rRNA from 1 species
UUGAUCAUGGCUCAGAGUGAACGCUGGCGGUAGGCCUAACACAUGCAAGUCGAACGGCAGCACAGGAGAGCUUGCUCUCUGGGUGGCGAGUGGCGGACGGGUGAGGAAUACAUCGGAAUCUACCUUUUCGUGGGGGAUAACGUAGGGAAACUUACGCUAAUACCGCAUACGACCUACGGGUGAAAGUGGGGGACCGCAAGGCCUCACGCGAUUAGAUGAGCCGAUGUCCGAUUAGCUAGUUGGCGGGGUAAUGGCCCACCAAGGCGACGAUCGGUAGCUGGUCUGAGAGGAUGAUCAGCCACACUGGAACUGAGACACGGUCCAGACUCCUACGGGAGGCAGCAGUGGGGAAUAUUGGACAAUGGGCGCAAGCCUGAUCCAGCCAUACCGCGUGGGUGAAGAAGGCCUUCGGGUUGUAAAGCCCUUUUGUUGGGAAAGAAAUCCUAUCGGUUAAUAACCGGUGGGGAUGACGGUACCCAAAGAAUAAGCACCGGCUAACUUCGUGCCAGCAGCCGCGGUAAUACGAAGGGUGCAAGCGUUACUCGGAAUUACUGGGCGUAAAGCGUGCGUAGGUGGUGGUUUAAGUCUGCUGUGAAAGCCCUGGGCUCAACCUGGGAAUUGCAGUGGAUACUGGAUUACUAGAGUGUGGUAGAGGGAUGCGGAAUUUCUGGUGUAGCAGUGAAAUGCGUAGAGAUCAGAAGGAACAUCCGUGGCGAAGGCGGCAUCCUGGGCCAACACUGACACUGAGGCACGAAAGCGUGGGGAGCAAACAGGAUUAGAUAC